rnacentral:misc_RNA from 1 species
GGGUAACAGCAAUCCCAGAUUACCUCAUUAUCUAAAAUAAGUUGCUCAUAAGGUGACAAAAAUCACAAAAUACAAUGCAGGGUUUGGACAGCUAAAUAGAAACAGAAUCAAUAAAAGAUAACCAAGUUUCAAAAAAGAAAACAGAACAUAAGAUUCAAUUAACUCUCACACGAGACACUAGAACAUCUAAAAUUACUCAAAGGACGACAGUAAUCCUUCCAGCAACUUGAUCAAGGUCACGGCGCCCCUGGGAAGUAAUGCUCCUCCCCCCCUUGGGAUCAACCUCAACAAUGUUCAUUGCCUGCAGCUGCUGAAGAAUGUGGCGGGCUAUGGCACCACUGCUUUUGCAGAAAUGUGGAGGCCGGCUACCAUUCCUCUUGCGUCCUCCAUAGAUUUUUUGGAAAGCACCCACUCCAAUACCAUUCCUCAGAUAGAUCUUUCUUGCCAUAGAAGCGGCCCUAAUGUAAUACCAAUCUGGGUCAUAAGGAGCAAGCUCCUUAAACUUUCCAGUCUUCACAAUGUCUGUCCAGUGGGGAAGCUCCAUCUUUCCCGAUCGCUUCAGAUGGGAAGAGUAGGCUUUCACGAAAUCCUGGGGCGCGACGUCCUUCACGGUCCUGGAAACCGCCGCCGCCGGCGCCGCCUCCUCCAUCUCCGCCAUGGCUAUUCGCACUCGAUGAGACGUCUGCAAGGGGAAUUAGAUCGGGGCGGCG